rnacentral:rRNA from 1 species
UUCCGGUUGAUCCUGCCGGAGGCCAUUGCUAUCGGAGUCCGAUUUAGCCAUGCUAGUCGAGCGAGGUUAGCCCUCGCGGCGAACAGCUCAGUAACACGUGGCCAAGCUACCCUGCAGAGGGGGACAGCGUCGGGAAACUGACGGGAAUCCCCCAUACCGGUCUCACGCUGGAAUGCCGAGACCGACAAACGCUCCGGCGCUGCAGGAUGCGGCUGCGGCCGAUUAGGUAGUCGGUGGGGUAACGGCCCACCGAGCCGAUAAUUGGUACGGGGUGUGAGAGCACGAGCCCGGAGACGGAAUCUGAGACAAGAUUCCGGGCCCUACGGGGCGCAGCAGGCGCGAAACCUUUACACUGCACGAACGUGCGAUAAGGGGACUCCGAGUGCGAGGGCAUACAGUCCUCGCUAUUGUGUACCGUAGGGUGGUACACGACCAAGAGCUGGGCAAGACCGGUGCCAGCCGCCGCGGUAAUACCGGCAGCUCGAGUGAUGGCCGAUUUUAUUGGGCCUAAAGCGUCCGUAGCUGGCCCUGCAAGUCCGUCGGGAAAUCCACUCGCCUAACGAGUGGGCGUCCGGCGGAAACUACAGGGCUUGGGACCGGAAGACUUGAGGGGUACGUCUGGGGUAGGAGUGAAAUCCUGUAAUCCUGGACGGACCGCCGAUAGCGAAAGCACCUCAAGACGACGGAUCCGACAGUGAGGGACGAAAGCUAGGGUCUCGAACCGGAUUAGAUACCCGGGUAGUCCUAGCUGUAAACGAUGUUCGCUAGAUGUGGCACAGGCUACGUGCCUGUGCUGUGUCGUAGGAAGCCGAGAAGCGAACCGCCUGGGAAGUACGUCCGCAGGAUGAAACUAAAGGAAUUGG